GACUACCGGGGUAUCUAAUCCUGUUUGCUACCCACGCUUUCGUGCCUCAGCGUCAGUUACAGUCCAGAGAAUCGCCUUCGCCACUGGUGUUCUUCCUAAUAUCUACGCAUUUCACCGCUACACUAGGAAUUCCAUUCUCCUCUCCUGCACUCUAGAUAUCCAGUUUCAAAUGCAGCCCCCAAGUUAAGCCCGGGGAUUUCACAUCUGACUUAGAUAUCCGCCUACGCACCCUUUACGCCCAGUAAAUCCGGACAACGCUUGCCACCUACGUAUUACCGCGGCUGCUGGCACGUAGUUAGCCGUGGCUUCCUCCUCUGGUACCGUCAUUAUCGUCCCAGAAGACAGAGCUUUACAAUCCGAAAACCUUCAUCACUCACGCGGCGUUGCUGCGUCAGGGUUUCCCCCAUUGCGCAAUAUUCCCCACUGCAGCCGCCCGUAGG
rnacentral:rRNA from 1 species